AGCACUUCCAGGGAUCCAGAGACAGCCGCAGCUUUUCCUUUAUGCCUUUAUGCCAGGGCCUCACCAUCCUCAUUGUAAAUAAAUUCUUCUUUAUAUCUAACCUAACCAGACCCUCUCUCAGUGUAAAAUCAGCACCCCUUGCCUGUGCUUUGGAUCCAUCUUGGGUUUGGGCAUCUUCAGUUGGUGCUGUGUAUUUUUUAUGAGCAAUACUGAAUGUAAAUCACCCUUUGCACAGGUUUCCAAGGAUAUUUAAUAUGUGGCUAGUGAAAUAUUGAUUGGGUUGUACAAAUAAAAGGGGCUUUAUCCCACGGUGGAUCCUCAUGGUGAAGUAUUGCAGAGAUGCGUUCCAUGCAGUGCUUGGCUUUUCCAAGGAAAGCCUUAACCUCAGCCAUGUAAAAUGGCACCUAAUGGGAAGGUGAGCCAGGAGCCAAGGACACGCACAGCCUUACCAGAGGUGGCAGGAUCCAAAUUCAACACAAUGGCACAUGCCAGGCUGCUUCCUCACUAUUCUAUAGGAUUUUGUGGCCCUUCUCUAUCUCUGUCCUCAUCACAAAGCAGGAAGUAAGUGUUCACCUGUAUUCCAGCCUGUGUCAGACCUCUGGGAAAGUGGCCCCUGUCAUUCCUUGUGUUCAAGUUUCAUGCUGCCAGUCUACAUAAAGCAUCCGUGGUCUGGAGCUGGGUUUGUUGCUUUUUCCUGUGCAAACUUCUGGAGCACCAGCUGUUGCCACCAUUUUCUGACUAUAUUUCAUUGAUUCUAGUAUUGGACUUGUUCCCAAGUAGUUGCACUGUAUUAAAAUUCCAGUGGAAGAAAAACAAGCCAGUUUGUUGCUGUCUUGCAUCAGGCAAUGUCAGGACUGUGCUUCCCAGCACAGGAGACAGAACUGUGGGAGUGCCCUGGCUUGAGGCAAAUUCUCAUUUCAGCCUGGGGAGGGUGUCAUGUUUGCCAGCUUAUGUAAAGCAUUGUGAUCAGAGCUUUCAGUCCAAAUAUUCCAGCCUUUCUACAGAUUCAGUUGCUGAUGCUAUUUUAGGGGACCUGAUGUCUCUGGGGGAUGACUCAUUGAAGUUCAUCUGUAGCUGGCCGGCAUUAAUCCAGACUAACAGUCUGAUUUUCAAAUGUUUCUUUACAUAAGAAAACUGCUUAAGUGUGUGUUUAACUGUGGAACUUGGCUGAAAGAACCUGGUUUACGCUCUGUCCUGUGGUGGGCACAGAGCACCAGCAGCCUGAAGCUGCUGAUGCUCUUCAGUAGCCCGUCAAUAGCCCAGCUCGUGGGCUGGGAGCGUAUCUGCAGGGUGAUAGAACCACCUGGGAGGCCUUUUCCAAGGUAGUUCAGCAAGGAACAUGCAGGGAGUGAAUCCAAAGCAAGGCUCUACUGGCUUGGGUGAGACCCGUGGUGGGAGUACCUGCAAACCCCUCUUGUCAUCUCUCUGAUGCAAAAGCUGGGACUUUCUGCACCAGGACAUUGCUGGAUUACCUGCUUGCUACUGACAAUGAAUUUGGUAGCAAUCCAAGUUAAUUAUUCUAAUAUAAAUUGUUAUAAAACCUGGCUGGUGUCACAUUUGAGUCUUUCUGGUUUGUUUGCCUUUGGGGCAUGAAGUUGGCUUUUGGGCUGUCAGUGCAGUUGUACCACAGCAUUUUUAAAAGAUAUAAAUCCAUUUACUAUGCUGCCUAACUCCCUAUAAUGUUGGCUGCUUCUGCAUUUAACCAGGAGGGUGCUUUGCACACAGAUUCUUCCUCUGAUGAGAAGUGUUUGAGCCAGUGAAGUGGGAAUGGAGAAAGCCAUUCAUGAGCACCUUCACAGGGCAUCCGUUUUCUAUUUGCUUUGCUCUUCGAGCCAACACUGUCUGGGAAAAUUGCUCCUGAAUGAAGCAACUCACAGCUCAAGGGACCUGUUGGCGGUGUGGCUGAAAGAGGGCUUUGGAAAACACAGAUCAUCUCCUGGAAAUACCUGUAAGACCUCUAACUAAAAGUUUGGCAUCUCAGAGCCUUUUUGGGAAAAACUAUUUUCUUCUUUACUUUCACUUUAAUCCUUGGUAAAAUAAUGAUGUGUUUGGACUGCAAGCGUUGCAGGAUUGAAGUGUUCUUACUUGUGGUGGUGAUCUGGAGGGAGUGUGGUCAGCAUGUGCCAAGUCUUUUCAGGUGUGGACCCUCCUGUUGCACACCUUUGUAUUUCAGGGAUGAUGUUGCUCGUCAUCAAGCAGAGGGGUGCUCACAUUUAAACACCCAGCAGGAGCCCCCAGAGACAUUUUGUAGAGCAUGUGCAUGUGCACAAAGAAGAUCCUAAACAUGAGAUUCUAAAUCCACAUCCAAGGUAUUUUCACCAGCUCUAACAACUCAGCCCAUGAGAAACCUUGAUGUUUUGGGGGGCCACAGCAGGCUGGUAUAUGGCAGGAUGCUUUUGGAGCCACAAGGACGCAUUCCAGCGCUUUUCAAAGCAUGGGAAAACUCAUUUCCAUAUUCCUACCUUCCCACCUAGACCACCACUUAUCAAUGCUGCCAUCGAAUGGUUCAGCAGUUGCACGUGCUGAAGGAAUUUCUCUGCAAAGAUUGGGUUUAACAGAAGGGAUCUCUUCAGCUGGGAGAGCAUGUGUGAGGGAAGGGAGGCCUGGGAGACUUGGGGUGAGCAGGCAGCAGUGAGGAGAAAUAUUUCAACAGUUAUGAGCUUGAGAGUGGAAAGCUUGAAGUGAGAUGUGUUAAUCAGUGUGGAGGAUUUGGGGUCCUGACUUGAGCUCAGGCUGGUGGUGUUUCCACUGUUGAUGUUAUCACAGAACCUUUUUUCUUCUGGGUUAUCUCCAGCUCACACAGCUUUGGGGUGGUGAUCCGAGGGGCUACUCAGCCCAUGCUUAUGGUUGAGGUUGUUAAGGAGCGUGCAGACACACAAAAUCAAACCCUAGGCAUUGCGAAAUCUUCUGGACUUCCUUUCUCCCAGUGUGGGAGCUCUGUGUGUCUCUGGUGAUGGAGAAGAAAGGCUUUUUCCAGAGAUCCUGCCUGCCUCAAGGAAUGCGGGAGCAGGAAAGAGUCUGGGUGAGAUGGGAGGUUCACCCCGAAUCUGCAGGCGGUUUGUGGUGUGGGACACCAGCACUUUCACAGCAUUUUGGUAUCACGAAUCAGGGUUUGUCACGAGGAGAUGCUGCAAGUUCUUGCGGAGGCUGAGUACAUGUGGCUGCUGUCCCUGGCUGCUCCCAGUCAUGGCUGUGGGGCUGAGCUGAAAUCGAUCAGAGCCUGUGGAUGUGCUGUGACAAACUCCUUGUGCCCAGAGGCGAUGCUUCCAUAAAUCCUGUAAGCAUGUGCUUAACUUUGGGGAGCAAGGUGAUUGCAAGGCAAUAUUUUAUUCUUGUCAGCUUCAGUGUUAACAGUUACCAGAAUCACUUGGGUAAUUAAGCUCUUGCAAGAAUAAAGUGAAAAAGCACCAGGUGUCUAUGGAGAUCUAAAUCAUUUUUCAGAGUGGGCAGAAGAGCAGUUUUUGGCUUUCCUCAGUAGCUGGAGUUCUAAAAUCCACAGAGACAGCACAGAUCCCCUCCAAAUGAGCUACAGAGAGCAGCCCUGCUUUUCUUAGGUACCUUUUGCCAACCACCUACAAGAAGCUGGUGGGUGACCUGGGCUUCAUAUGUGACCACUGGUUGGAAACUUCAAAAUAAAGGAAGGCCUUUUGCAAAAGGCAUGGCUAAAAUUUCAUUCCAAAGAGUAUUUUUGAGAUGUAUUAGUGUAACUGUUGCUGGAGUAACUGGCUGCAAAGUGCUGAUGCCUGUCUUGCAGUUGGGAAAGAUAAGGCUGGAACUGAAGAAGGUGAACUGGUUUCCUUUAUUUGUGGGAUGUCAUUGGGAAGAUCCCAUCGCUGUUUAUAAAUAUUUAUUAUUGGGAUCACCGAAUCAUCAUAGAAUCAUAGCAUGGUUUGAGUAGGAAGGUAGGUCCCUACCUCUAAAGAU